AGUGAACGCUGGCGGUAGGCCUAACACAUGCAAGUCGGACGGCAGCACAGUAAGAGCUUGCUCUUACGGGUGGCGAGUGGCGGACGGGUGAGGAAUACAUCGGAAUCUACUUUUUCGUGGGGGAUAACGUAGGGAAACUUACGCUAAUACCGCAUACGACCUACGGGUGAAAGCAGGGGAUCUUCGGACCUUGCGCGAUUGAAUGAGCCGAUGUCGGAUUAGCUAGUUGGCGGGGUAAAGGCCCACCAAGGCGACGAUCCGUAGCUGGUCUGAGAGGAUGAUCAGCCACACUGGAACUGAGACACGGUCCAGACUCCUACGGGAGGUAGCAGUGGGGAAUAUUGGACAAUGGGCGCAAGCCUGAUCCUGCCAUACCGCGUGGGUGAAGAAGGCCUUCGGGUUGUAAAGCCCUUUUGUUGGGAAAGAAAAGCAGCAGGUUAAUACCCCGCUGUUCUGACGGUACCCAAAGAAUAAGCACCGGCUAACUUCGUG
rnacentral:rRNA from 1 species